AGAAAUGUUGAUCAAGAAAAAGCUGCUAACUUUUUUCUUUAGUGGUUUAAUUCCAUUAAUUUCUCUA
rnacentral:tRNA from 1 species